rnacentral:misc_RNA from 1 species
GGCGACGACGCGCUCGAUCUGGGCCAUCUGGCAGGCCUUCUCGGUGAGGGUCAUGCGGGAGAGGAGGUCUCGGACGCGGGACUCCACCGGCUGGGUUGGAUCUCGGUAGAGCUCGGCGCUGGCCGCCAUUGUGGUCGCCGGAGACGAGAGGCGCCGGCCGGUGGGGGAGAAGAGACUACUCGAACGAGGGGUUUUGUCGCGAAGGGAUG